AUCAAUAUGCAUGUACUUCAUCUCAUUCAGAUUACGGCUUUCUAACCUUUUCCACUUCAAGGGGCUUUUCUUGUUCACUUGUGGAUUUAGAGGCUACUAGUAUGUGACAGACAGUGAACCCAAACUCCAUACUUUCCUACUCAGAAAAUGACCAAUUGUGCUUCCAUAUGCGUACCUUUUAUCCAUUACAUGUUUUCGAUGCUACCUGUCUACUUGUCUUCUACUGAG
rnacentral:misc_RNA from 1 species